AUUGAACGCUGGCGGCAGGCCUAACACAUGCAAGUCGAGCGGAUGAAUGGAGCUUGCUCCUGGAUUCAGCGGCGGACGGGUGAGUAAUGCCUAGGAAUCUGCCUGGUAGUGGGGGAUAACGUCCGGAAACGGGCGCUAAUACCGCAUACGUCCUUAGGUAGAAAGUGGGGGAUCUUCGGACCUCACGCUAUCAUAUGAGCCUAGGUCGGAUUAGCUAGUUGGUGGGGUAAAGGCCUACCAAGGCGACGAUCCGUAACUGGUCUGAGAGGAUGAUCAGUCACACUGGAACUGAGACACGGUCCAGACUCCUACGGGAGGCAGCAGUGGGGAAUAUUGGACAAUGGGCGAAAGCCUGAUCCAGCCAUGCCGCGUGUGUGAAGAAGGUCUUCGGAUUGUAAAGCACUUUAAGUUGGGAGGAAGGGCAGUAAGUUAAUACCUUGCUGUUUUGACGUUACCAACAGAAUAAGCACCGGCUAACUUCGUG
rnacentral:rRNA from 1 species